rnacentral:misc_RNA from 1 species
GAUGAAGAACGUAGUGAAAUGCGAUAAGUAAUGUGAAUUGCAGAAUUCAGUGAAUCAUCGAAUCUUUGAACGCACAUUGCGCCCGCUAGUAUUCUGGCGGGCAUGCCUGUCCGAGCGUCAUUUCAACCCUCAAGCCCCCGGGCUUGGUGUUGGGGAUCGGCGAGCCUCCGCGCCCGCCGUCCCCUAAAUCUAGUGGCGGUCUCGCUGUAGCUUCCUCUGCGUAGUAGCACACCUCGCACUGGGAAACAGCGCGGCCACGCCGUUAAACCCCCAACUUCUGAACGUUUGACCUCGCAUCAGGUAGGAAUACCCGCUGAACUUAAGCAUAUCAAUAAGCGGAGGA